rnacentral:tRNA from 1 species
GGUGGCUCAGUGGUAGAGCGCUCGCCUUGCAUGCCUGAGGCCCUGGGUUCAUUCCUCAGCACCA